rfam:Oryctes borbonicus contig13866, whole genome shotgun sequence.
GCCUCGGUAGUGCAACGGGCAGCGCGUAAGUUCCAUAAACUUAAGGUUGUGAGUUCGAAUCUCACCCGCAUGCA